rnacentral:lncRNA from 1 species
AAAACUCCAAUUCGGAGUGAAAAACCCACGGGACCGAUCACGCAAAGAAAAUCCACUAAGAAAACUUGAGUACAAGUGAUUUCGACCAAAAACACACGACUCAAUUUACCGAUUUCUCGUUGACGGUGAUCUUUGCUGGUCCUCGAUCGAUAGGAAUCCACCAAUCGACCUUGCUGCAACUCCUCGCAGCGUCAACGCCUCAACUCCUCGAAGCGUCCACCGAAUCCUCGGCUUCACGCGAGAUCCACGCGCCAAACCUCCUUCCGGAGCUUGUAGAAUUGAAGAUUUGUGGUGAUUUUACUUUUGAAAACCAUAAGCUAUGAGGGUUCACCUUU